rnacentral:rRNA from 1 species
AUUGAACGCUGGCGGCAUGCCUUACACAUGCAAGUCGAACGGUAACAGGUUAAGCUGACGAGUGGCGAACGGGUGAGUAAUGUAUCGGAACGUGCCCAGUCGUGGGGGAUAACUGCUCGAAAGAGCAGCUAAUACCGCAUACGACCUGAGGGUGAAAUCGGGGGAUCGCAAGACCUUGCGCGAUUGGAGCGGCCGAUAUCAGAUUAGGUAGUUGGUGGGGUAAAGGCCUACCAAGCCUACGAUCUGUAGCUGGUCUGAGAGGACGACCAGCCACACUGGGACUGAGACACGGCCCAGACUCCUACGGGAGGCAGCAGUGGGGAAUUUUGGACAAUGGACGCAAGUCUGAUCCAGCCAUGCCGCGUGCGGGAAGAAGGCCUUCGGGUUGUAAACCGCUUUUGUCAGGGAAGAAAAGGUUCUGGUUAAUACCUGGGACUCAUGACGGUACCUGAAGAAUAAGCACCGGCUAACUACGUGCCAGCCGCCGCAGUAA